UGGGUCGGUGACUCCCACAAG
rnacentral:misc_RNA from 1 species